CUCGAGGCAGGUGAGCCCCACAGGUUACACAUCAUAAUGCCUACCCCAUCGUUACAAGGCAUUUAUGAUGGUGUCUUAAGUCAGCAACCUCAACAACUCCCCUGGUCUCCAGCCAGGAAUAAAAGCGCUGAAGGAAAUCAGGCCACAGUAAUUUCCCCAAACCACAGAGCUAACAUGCAUGAUACAGCUCAGUCCUGCUUGGAGCACAGGAGCAGCAAACUCAGCACCUGCAAAGUCUUAGAGGAGAGCUGGGCUCCCAUCCCAAGCCAUACAACAGGCAAUGAGUAAUCAUCUGAGCAGUGAAAAAUAAUGCAUGGAGUCCAUUACCCGGCUGUGGUGGGCUAUCCGGUCUGGAGCUGAAGCUGGGAGUGCCAUUAUAUCAGCAGUGAGAUGACCUGACGUGGAGCUGGGAUUUGAGCCAUCCCAAAGUGUCACACACAAGAUUUGCCUGCUCAUGGUAUCUGCUCCUCUCACUAGUCCUGCAGCUGGGAAGAUACUGCGCUCAUAAGCCACGUGAGUAAUUCAACAAGGAAAAGAGUAGAAACACUGAAUGGGUAGAACAAUGUGUGGUUAACAAAGCACCGCACUGGAGAUCACACACUUGGUUUUACCUCUUGAUAUUGAAGGGCACUCUGGAGCAAACCACAUGCCUGCCAUCCCCGACGGGGCUCUCAAUGCUUUAAGCUUUAAUUUCCAUACUUUCAAGCUUCCCUAGCAUGUAAUUGGGUUCUUUAAUUUUUUUAUUUUUUUUUUUAAGAAUUAAUGCUCAAAAUGACAGCAUUUCUCUCUACCAAGAUCUGUAUAGAUGGUGCAAAAGACCACCAGAGCAAUACCCCAUAACAGUGCAAGGUAAUGAACAAGACAUCCCCCAAGAGAGCUACAUUCGCAUUGGUAUAUGUGAAUACAUACCUUUGUAGCAGGAAUAAAGCACUGUGCCAUUGCAUCACAGCAUGAUGAGCCAAGCUAAACCUUCAGGAGAGUCCUUAUUCAGCCGGGCCAAGCCCUGCUUCGGGGUCUGUAAUGACAGGCUCAUUCCUUGAGCUUUGGAAGAGCCUUAAAGGGGCAUUAAGUUAUCCAGCAAGCCCAUUCCCCAAACUCUCCUCCCACAAAACAGGCUCUAAAGUGAUCCAGUGGCAGGGACCAAGGUUGGUAAAGCUGGGUCCCAGCUAUCUGCUGGAAACAGAAGGCAAAGCAUGGUCCCAGCAGGGAUUUGGGUUGGCCACAAGUGCAGCACACAAACAGUUUUGUACCUGCCAUGGGACCCUUUUCUUCCCUUUUCUCCCUAUUUAACUGGCACAGUAUUUUAUGCUCUUACCCCAUCAACACAUCACAACUGCACAUCUCUUUCAUUUCUCGUAUUUUUAUUCAAAAAGAAGGUUUGCUAACAGCGAUCAGUACCAUGGCCCAGGCCCCUCCAUACAAAAGCUGACUUCAGCAGUCCUGGGCCUUCAUCUCCAUCCCUCCCUCCUCCGUACCAAACCAGGGACUUACAACCACUCCUGAAUCAUGGGAUGCUCUUCGACACUGCAGAUAGCUCCCACCUUGCAAUUUCACUCUUUGUCUCCCUCCUAUCUCAGGAAACCUCAGCAGCUUAAGCAGAGGUUCACAGACAGAUUUAGCUUUAUCCUGGCACUAAACUCAAUGAAAAGAAAGUUAAAAAAAAAA